rnacentral:rRNA from 1 species
ACAGCAGUAGCCGCGGGAAUACGUAGGUCCCGAGCGUUAUCCGGAUUUAUUGGGCGUAAAGCGAGCGCAGGCGGUUAGAUAAGUCUGAAGUUAAAGGCUGUGGCUUAACCAUGGUACGCUUUGGAAACUGUUUAACUUGAGUGCAAGAGGGGAGAGUGGAAUUCCAUGUGUAGCGGUGAAAUGCGUAGAUAUAUGGAGGAACACCGGUGGCGAAAGCGGCUCUCUGGCUUGUAACUGACGCUGAGGCUCGAAAGCGUGGGGAGCAAACAGGAUUAGAUACCCCGGUAGUCCCUGUCUCUUAUACA